UGUGACGUAGCGCAAAUGGAGAGAGCAACAGUCUUCUAAGCUGUGGGGUAUGGGUUCGAGUCCCUUCGUCACAA
rnacentral:tRNA from 2 species